AACGUACCUUUCAGUUCGGAAUAACCCAGGGAAACUUGGGCUAAGACCGGAUACGCCCUUUUGGGGAAAGAUUUAUCGCUGAGAGAUCGGCCCGCGUCUGAUUAGCUAGUUGGUGAGGUAAAGGCUCACCAAGGCGACGAUCAGUAGCUGGUCUGAGAGGAUGAUCAGCCACAUUGGGACUGAGACACGGCCCAAACUCCUACGGGAGGCAGCAGUGGGGAAUAUUGGACAAUGGGCGCAAGCCUGAUCCAGCCAUGCCGCGUGAGUGAUGAAGGCCUUAGGGUUGUAAAGCUCUUUCGGCGGGGACGAUAAUGACGGUACCCGCAGAAGAAGCCCCGGCUAACUUCGUGCCAGCAGCCGCGGUAAUACAAAGGGGGCUAGCGUUGUUCGGAAUCACUGGGCGUAAAGGGCGCGUAGGCGGCCAUAUAAGUCGGGGGUGAAAGCCUGUGGCUCAACCACAGAAUUGCCUUCGAUACUGUAUGGCUCGAGACCGGAAGAGGUAAGUGGAACUGCGAAUGUAUAGGUGAAAUUCGUAGAUAUUCGCAAGAACACCAGUGGCGAAGGCGGCUUACUGGUCCGGUUCUGACGCUGAGGCGCGAAAGCGUGGGGAGCAAACAGGAUUAGAUACCCUGGU
rnacentral:rRNA from 1 species